GCCUAACUGGCUCAGUUGGUGGAGCAUGCAACACUUGAUCUUGGAAUCAUGAGUUCAAGACCCAUGUUAGGUA
rnacentral:tRNA from 1 species